rnacentral:rRNA from 1 species
GGGUGAGUAACACGUAUGGAACCUGCCCGUAGCAGGGGGAUAAGCGGAAGAAAUUCCGUCUAAUACCGCGUAAUAACUCCGAGAGGCAUCUCCUGGGGUUUAAAGGGUAACACCGGCUACGGAUGGCCAUGCGGCGCAUUAGCUAGUUGGCGGGGUAACGGCCCACCAAGGCGACGAUGCGUAGGGGUUCUGAGAGGAAGGUCCCCCACACUGGUACUGAGACACGGACCAGACUCCUACGGGAGGCAGCAGUGAGGAAUAUUGGUCAAUGGGCGCGAGCCUGAACCAGCCAAGUCGCGUGAGGGAAGACGGUCCUAUGGAUUGUAAACCUCUUUUGUCGGGGAGCAAAAGACGCCACGCGUGGCGUUCCGAGAGUACCCGAAGAAAAAGCAUCGGCUAACUCCGUGCCAGCAGCCGCGGUAAUACGGAGGAUGCGAGCGUUAUCCGGAUUUAUUGGGUUUAAAGGGUGCGCAGGCGGAAGAUCAAGUCAGCGGUAAAAUUGCGGGGCUCAACCUCGUUGAGCCGUUGAAACUGGGUGCCUUGAGUGGGCGAGAAGUACGCGGAAUGCGUGGUGUAGCGGUGAAAUGCAUAGAUAUCACGCAGAACUCCGAUUGCGAAGGCAGCGUACCGGCGCCCAACUGACGCUGAAGCACGAAGGCGUGGGUAUCGAACAGGAUUAGAUACCCUGGUAGUCCACGCAGUAAACGAU